GUGCUGAUCACCAAGGCCCUUUUUCCUGGCCUGGUAUGCGUGUGAUUAUGUUUGUCCCGGUUCCUGUGUAUUAGACAUGGAAGCCUCCCCUGCCACACUCCACCCCCAAUCUUCCUUUCCCUUCCGGCAGGGAGUGCCCUCUCCAUAAGACGCUUACGUUUGGACAAUCAAGGUGCACAGUUGUAAGUGACCACAGGCAUACACCUUGGACAUUAAUGUGCAUAACCACUUUGCCCAUUCCAUCUGAAUAAGGUCCUACUCUCAGAUGCCCUUUGCAGUACAGCAGGGGUACUGAAUCACCAAGGCCCUUUUUCU
rnacentral:lncRNA from 1 species